rnacentral:rRNA from 1 species
GGGCUCAACCCCGGAACGGCCUCCGAUACUGGCAGUCUCGAGUUCGAGAGAGGUGAGUGGAACUCCGAGUGUAGAGGUGAAAUUCGUAGAUAUUCGGAAGAACACCAGUGGCGAAGGCGGCUCACUGGCUCGAUACUGACGCUGAGGUGCGAAAGUGUGGGGAGCAAACAGGAUUAGAUACCCUGGUAGUCCACACCGUAAACGAUGAAUGCCAGACGUCGGGCAGCAUGCUGUUCGGUGUCACACCUAACGGAUUAAGCAUUCCGCCUGGGGAGUACGGCCGCAAGGUUAAAACUCAAAGGAAUUGACGGGGGCCCGCACAAGCGGUGGAGCGUGUGGUUUAAUUCGAAGCAACGCGCAGAACCUUACCAACCCUUGACAUUUGUCGACCGGUCCAGAGAUGGAUUUUCCCUUCGGGGCGGCAGGACAGGUGCUGCAUGGCUGUCGUCAGCUCGUGUCGUGAGAUGUUCGGUUAAGUCCGGCAACGAGCGCAACCCACACCCUUAGUUGCCAAUGAUGGAACUCUAGGGGAACUGCCCGUGAUAAGCGGGAGGAAGGUGUGGAUGACGUCAAGUCCUCAUGGCCCUUACGGGUUGGGCUACACACGUGCUACAAUGGCAUCUACAAUGGGCUAAUCCCCAAAAGAUGUCUCAGUUCGGAUUGUCGUCUGCAACUCGACGGCAUGAAGUCGGAAUCGCUAGUAAUCGCGUAACAGCAUGACGCGGUGAAUACGUUCCCGGGCCUUGUACACACCUCCCGUCACACCAUGGGAGUUGGUUUACCCGAAGAUGGGCGCUAACUUCGGAG